GUUUGUUGGUUCUCUCUCUCUCUCUCUCUCUCUCUCUCUCUCUCUCUCUCACACACACACACACACACACAGAGAGAGAGAGAGAGAGAGAGAGCAAGAGCAAGAGCAAGAGCAAGAGCAAGA